CUUUCUGCAAGGUGCUGCAUGGUUGUCGUCAGCUCGUGCCGUGAGGUGUCGGGUUAAGUCCCAUAACGAGCGCAACCCUUAUCGUUAGUUGCCAUCUGGUAAUGCAGGGGACUCUAGCGAAACUGCCACCGUAAGGUGAGAGGAAGGUGGGAUGACGUCAAAUCAGCACGGCCCUUAUGUCCCAGGGCUACACACGUGUUACAAUGGUCGGUACAGAGGGCAGCUACCUGGUGACAGGGAUGCUAAUCUCGAAAACCGGUCUCAGUUCGGAUCGAAGUCUGCAACUCGACUUCGUGAAGCUGGAUUCGCUAGUAAUCGCGCAUCAGCUAUGGCGCGGUGAAUACGUUCCCGGGCCUU
rnacentral:rRNA from 1 species